GACGAACGCUGGCGGCGUGCCUAAUACAUGCAAGUAGGACGCAGUUGCGAACGGGUGAGUAACGCGUAGGUAACUGCCUCUUAGAGGGGGAUAACUAUUGGAAACGAUAGCUAAUACCGCAUACUAGUAGAUGGCCCUGCGGUGUAAUAGCUAGUAGGUAGGGUAAUGGCCUACCUAGGCAACGAUACAUAGCCGACCUGAGAGGGUGAUCGGCCAAACUGGGACUGAGACACGGCCCAGACGCCUUCGGGAGGCAGCUGUAGGGAAGCUUCGGCAAUGGGGUGAACCCUGACCGAGCAACGCCGCGUGAGUGAAGAAGGUUUUCGGAUCGUAAAGCUCUGUUGUUAAGGAAGCGGUACUUAACCAGAAAGGGACGGCUAACUACGUGCCAGCAGCCGCGGUAAUUC
rnacentral:rRNA from 1 species